rnacentral:rRNA from 1 species
GUAGGUGGCAAGCGUUGUCCGGAAUUAUUGGGCGUAAAGCGCGCGCAGGCGGUCCUUUAAGUCUGAUGUGAAAGCCCACGGCUCAACCGUGGAGGGUCAUUGGAAACUGGGGGACUUGAGUACAGAAGAGGAAAGCGGAAUUCCAAGUGUAGCGGUGAAAUGCGUAGAGAUUUGGAGGAACACCAGUGGCGAAGGCGGCUUUCUGGUCUGUAACUGACACUGAGGCGCGAAAGCGUGGGGAGCAAACAGGAUUAGAUACCCUGGUAGUCCACGCCGUAAACGAUGAGUGCUAAGUGUUAGGGGGUUUCCCGCCCCCUUAGUGCUGCAGCUAACGCAUUAAGCACUCCGCCUGGGGAGUACGGCCGCAAGGCUG